UACCAGCACCCCGAGUGGUUGGGACGAUUAUUGGGCCUAAAGCAUCCGUAGCCGGUCCUACAAGUCUUCCGUUAAAUCCACCUGCUUAACAGAUGGGCUGCGGAAGAUACUAUAGGGCUAGGAGGCGGGAGAGGCAAGCGGUACUCAGUGGGUAGGGGUAAAAUCCUCUGAUCCAUUGAAGACCACCAGUGGCGAAGGCGGCUUGCCAGAACGCGCUUGACGGUGAGGGAUGAAAGCUGGGGGAGCAAACCGG
rnacentral:rRNA from 1 species